rnacentral:rRNA from 1 species
ACGCUCGACACCUACGGGAGCAGCAGUGGGGAAUAUUGCACAAUGGGGGAAACCCUGAUGCAGCGACGCCGCGUGAGCGAAGAAGUAUUUCGGUAUGUAAAGCUCUAUCAGCAGGGAAGAAACUGACGGUACCUGACUAAGAAGCACCGGCUAAAUACGUUCCAGCAGCCGCGGUAAUCUGAGCGGGCUGGCAAGGC